CCUACGGGUGGCAGCAGUGGGGAAUAUUGCACAAUGGGGGAAACCCUGAUGCAGCGACGCCGCGUGAGUGAAGAAGUAAUUCGUUAUGUAAAGCUCUAUCAGCAGGGAAGAAAAUGACGGUAUCUGAGUAAGAAGCCCUGGCUAACUACGUGCCAGCCGCAGCGGGAAUACGUAGGGGGCAAGCGUUAGCCGGAUUUAAUGGGUGCAAAGGGAGCGUAGACGGCAGUGGAAGGAUGGAGUGAAAGGCGGGGGCUCAACCACCGGACUGCUCUGGAAACUGUACGGCUGGAGUGCAGGAGAGGUAAGUGGAAUUCCUAGUGUAGCGGUGAAAUGCAUAGAUAUCACACAGAACACCGCUGGCGAAGGCAUCUCACUAAUCCGCGAUUGACGCUGAUGCACGAAAGCGUGGGUAUCAAACAGGAUUAGAUACCCGGGUAGUC
rnacentral:rRNA from 1 species